UUGCAGGUGGCUGCCAUUUUUGUGACCUUGCAACUGUACUGUGACCUCUGGUUGCAUAGUCUCAAAAGUGACAUCCUUCUUGUAA
rnacentral:pre_miRNA from 1 species